UAUAACUCUUUUAGGUGAGAAGAUACAGGU
rnacentral:piRNA from 1 species